GAUGAACGCUGGCGGCGUGCUUAACACAUGCAAGUCGAACGGAAAGGCCCUGCUCUUGUGGGGUGCUCGAGUGGCGAACGGGGGAGAAACACGCGAGUAACCCCCCCUUGACUUUGGGAUAACAUCAGGAAACUGGGGCUAAUAUCGGAUAGGAGCUCCUGCUGCAUGGUGGGGGUUGGAAAAUUUCGGCGGUUGGGGCUCGUCUCGCGGCUUAUCAGCUUGUUGGUGGGGUAGUGGCUUACGAAGGCUGUGACGGGUAGCCGGCCUGAGAGGGUGACCGGCCACAUGGGGACUGAGGGACGGCGCAGACUCCUACGGGAGGCAGCGGUGGGAAACAUUGCACAGUGGGCGGGAGCCUGUUGCAGCAACGCCGCGUGCGGAAUGCCGGCCUUCGGGUGGUGAACCGCUGUCGCCUGUGACGAGGCGUGAGUGACGGUACUGGGUAAAGAAGCACCGGCUAACUACGUG
rnacentral:rRNA from 1 species